AAAAGCACCGACACAUCACUGUAUCAUCACACAACUGUAUGAUAAUAACGUCCAAAACUGAGGAUCCACUCUCACUGCUUUCUGAGACACGAGGAAUACUUUCAAAAUACUCAUGUUUAAUUCAUUAGCAUGCAAAUUCUGCAGUGCUGGAAGAAGUAGGCUUUUAAAAGUCAUUAUAAAUAUUAGCUUCUUCACUAGUCUCCAAGUAUUAAGUAUAAACUGCGUGAAAAGCUAGAGAUAGAGCUAGAUAAUAAAUAAACCAAAAAGACCUGAGACUGCUAAAAAACAGUCUACUGGGGAGGACCAGCCAGUUGAACUGGGAAAAGUAAAGUUAGUUUUGAUUUUGUCUUUCAUUUGAGACAUCAGCUAGCUUAGCAUAAAGACUGGAAACAGAAGUCAACCGAUAGCUUAGUUUAGCAUAAAGAGUGGAAACAGAGGGCAACAGCUAGCUUAGCUUAGCGUAAAGACUGGAAACAGAGAGCAGCAGCUAGCUUAGCUUAGCAUUAAGACUAGAAACAGAGGACAGCAACUAGCUUAUCUUAGCAUAAAGACUGAAAACAGAGGGCACCAGCUAACUUAGCUUAGUUUUUAAGACUGAAAACAGAGGGCAACAGUUAGCUUAGCUUAGCAUUAAGACUGAAAACAGAGGUCAACAGAUAGCUUAGCAUUAAGACUGAAAACGGAGGUCAACAGAUAGCUUAGCAUAAAGACUGGAAACAGAGGACAACAGCUAGCUUAGCUUAACAUAAAGAUCUGUUCUAUUUUCUAUUCUGUGCUCUAUUUGGUUUAUUCAGUUUGUACAAAAACAAGUAUAAAAAACAUAGUUUGUCUGUUAUGGGAAGUUUCAUUCUGGCACUUUUUCUUGUUAACCAACAUCUGGACACAGUUACCUUGCAGACCCUGAAUAGAAACUACGGGUUAUUUAUCCAGUUGGUCUCAGGAGCCGUAAACUGGAAAAGCACCUUAUCAACCGAGAGAACACAGUAGAAAUGAUAUGAAACCUGUAGCUGUGGUUAAAAUUGGGGUGUCUUUAAAACUGAGUUUUCUUUCACAGCGAGGCUCAUCCCGAGUCUGAAGGUGUGUGAAGUGAGCACAGCUUCAGUCCUGAGGAGUUCAUGUGAGACAGUUAACACUGUGGUGCACAUAAGGUUAACAAAGUCGUCAUCAUCACAGCCUGGAAACAGUCUGGUAACUGGACACCUCAAUGUUUACAGCUCCUGAGUUUCAGUUGGCAAGCACAGACAAGCAGCAGCGGCAGCUCAUUCUCUUAUUGUUAAGGACCGAAGCCUGAUCAGUACUGCUGAACUGUGGAGGAGCCACACAAUGAGAUGAGCUGUGUGGGGUUCAUUAAAUCCAGGACAAAAGGCGUCUCAUGGCCGUGGGGCCGAGAUAACAGAUAGCGUUCUCCUCUGCGGUGGCAUUUAUUGAUCCGAGUGAACGACUAAUUCACCUGUUCUUCUCCUGCUGCAGUCGUCCUCAUUGAGCUCGGCUGCAGGCUGAAUACAGACAUUAUUGGAGACUCGUCUGCGCCUCAUAUUUCACUGCUGCGUGCUGAGGAUGAUGAAGCGCUGCGGCCUGAUGGGAGUGAACUAUUGAUUUAAUGAUGUAUAUCUGUAUACAGAUCCUCCGUCAGAGCCAGGGGCUGGAUUAAAGGGCCGUUACUGA